rnacentral:rRNA from 2 species
AUUUGAUCUCAAAUCAGGUAGGACUACCCGCUGAAC